GGGAAAUACGCCUGUAAUGUUUUUAGAGUUUGGGAAAUAAUAAUUGCAUCUCCAAAUAAAGUUUCAUGUCAUCAACCAGACUUCAAGCCAAAACGCUAGGGAUUUUUUGACCAUACCCUAUAUAAUGGAAAAUGUUUAUAAUCUUCGAUAUAUCUCAUUGUUUUCUAAUGUUUUCUAUUGCAAUCAUUUGGGAAUCGUUUGGGCAAGUUUAGGAAGGCACUUCACAGUUUGGGAAGCAAUAAUUUUUAUAAUUAACGAAGAUUAAUGAAGCGUAUAGUUAGCAGACAUCAUGCUAAGGGUCAAUUUCUUAUUCUUUGAUCGCAAGGAAAAUAGCAAACUGUGAUUGGUCAAUUCUACGACUACAUUUACGACUACAAUUCAUUGUAGACGGUCCUUUAUGUGCUUUGUGCUUUGACCUUACACCUACGUUGUAUCCACUGGACCUCUUGAAUCUCUAGUAGGAUAUUUACAAUAAUUUUUUCAUAAAUUUCGUAGAGCUUUCGAGAAAGUUUGAGUUAGUUAUAUCCACAUUGAUCUAAUAACAAAGAAAAUUCUAGAAAGAUUAAGUAAAAUGCAGACGUUCAUAAAAUGCAAAACAUAAUGAAAUGAAGAAGGAAACAUGACAUUUGCAUCGUUUAUCAUGUUUCUAUUAUAAACAAGAAGUUUGCCCUAAAAGAACCAAUCAUGUUCGAUUGCUACUCUAGCUAAAAAUGAACAAUAUAAGAUAUUUUUGCAUAAGAUAAAAUAAUUUUAUUGUAAGUUUAUAGUUUUUCCCAUCACAAGUUUGUUAUAUCUUUAUUUUUCACAUCACAGGCAGUCUGUAUACAGAGCAUAUAGAAGGAAAACGUCUAAGAUAUAUGUUAACUUAUAAAAACAUUAACAAACAACGCGUAUUAUAUUUUAAUUUCCAUUAUAAACUGAAACUUUGUAUCUAUGUACUAUGUGAUGUUCUCGAUAUUAAGACGUUUCAAUUUUGAUACAUUAUUUUUUGAAACAAAAAUACCAAAUUGAAAAUAUAAUAAUAUUGAUUUUAUUAUGUUAUAUAUACAUUAGAUACUAUAAUAGAAUAUUGAUACAAUAUCAGUUACCUGCAUUUUAAUUAUCUUAGUUUAAAUCAAUUUGUUUAAUCAUCACUGCAUAUUCUGUACAUUAAUCUAUCUAUACAUGUAUUUUUCUCUUGUAAGGAUCCAUGGUUUUCUCCUACUUUUGAUCCUAAGAGAAGAUCAAUGAAUCUUAAUUAAUAACAACCAUCAUAUUAUUACCAGUAGUCAGAUCUGUCACAACAUUCCACGUUUUUUCAACGUCUAGUCCAAUUAGAAAAUGAAAAUAAAUGUUAAGUCCUAACAAGGUAUUAAUAGAGCUAGCUAUGAUUUAAAGAGUUUACCGAGUAAAAGUUUAUAAUACACACUUUUACACAUGCAUCAUUUAAAUCUUUUAGAAAUUUUUAUAUCUCGAAUUUAGCAUUAGAUUGACCACAAUGUGUACAAGAAGACUAUGCCGACGACAGUGAGAUCCACACAUAGGUAUAUGCAGCAAUCAGAAGAUAUCAGGAUUUUUCAUGCUGCCAAGGUGAGGAAGUAGUAAUGCACAUUAUGAAUAUUAUUUUUAAUUGCUAUUGCUGUUAUUG